AUGGGGAUCUGCCCGAUAGAGGGGGAUAACUACUGGAAACGGUGGCUAAUACCGCAUAAUCUCUUAGGAGCAAAGCAGGGGAACUUCGGUCCUUGCGCUAUCGGAUGAACCCAUAUGGGAUUAGCUAGUAGGUGGGGUAAUGGCUCACCUAGGCGACGAUCCCUAGCUGGUCUGAGAGGAUGAUCAGCCACACUGGGACUGAGACACGGCCCAGACUCCUACGGGAGGCAGCAGUGGGGAAUAUUGCACAAUGGGCGCAAGCCUGAUGCAGCCAUGCCGCGUGUAUGAAGAAGGCCCUAGGGUUGUAAAGUACUUUCAGUCGGGAGGAAGGCGUUGAUGCUAAUAUCAUCAACG
rnacentral:rRNA from 1 species